rnacentral:rRNA from 1 species
GAUGAACGCUGGCGGCGUGCCUAACACAUGCAAGUCGAGCGAACGGACGAGAAGGUGGCUUCUCGGAUGUUAAAGGCGGAAGGGAGAGUAACAUAUGGAGAACCUACCUAUAAGACUGGGAUAGCUACGGGAAACCGGUGCUAAUACGGGAUGAUAUUUUGAACCGGAUGGUUGAAAAGUUAAGGACGGUUUUGCUGGCACUUAUGGAUGGCUCCGCGCUGCAUUAGCUAGUUGGUAAGUUAACGGCUUACCAAGGCAACGAUGCAUAGCCGACCUGAGAGGGUGUACGGCCACACUGGAGCUGAGACACGGUCUAGAGUCCGACGGGAGGCCCAAGCUGGUACGCUUGCGCACUGGGGGAAAGCCUGACCGAUCAGCGCCGCGCGAGUGAUGCAGGGCUGCGGACCGGAAAACUGUGUUAGUGGGGAAGACCAUAUGUGUAAGUAACUGUGCACAUCGUGACGGUACCUACUCAGGAAGCCACGGCUAACUACGUG